rnacentral:rRNA from 1 species
GACGAACGCUGGCGGCGUGCUUAACACAUGCAAGUCGAGCGGUAAGGCCCUUUCGGGGGUACGACGAGCGGCGAACGGGUGAGUAACACGUGGGUGACCUGCCUUUAGUCUCUGGGAGUAAGCCUGGGAAACGUAGGGUCGUAAUACCGGAUACGACUCCGCGGUGCAUGCUGUGGGGUGGAAAGCCUUGUGCGGCUGGAGAUGGGCCCGCGGCCUAUCAGCUUGUUGGUGGGGUGAUGGCCUACCAAGGCGACGACGGGUAGCCGGCCUGAGAGGGCGACCGGCCACACUGGGACUGAGACACGGCCCAGACUCCUACGGGAGGCAGCAGUGGGGAAUCUCGCGCAAUGGGCGAAAGCCUGACGCAGCGACGCCGCGUGAGGGAUGACGGCCUCGG